rnacentral:tRNA from 1 species
GCCGAGGUGGUGGAAUUGGUAGACACGCAUGGUUGAGGGCCAUGUGGGCGCUAGCCUGUACGGGUUCGAGUCCCGUCUUCGGCACUA